rfam:Camelus ferus unplaced genomic scaffold scaffold388, whole genome shotgun sequence.
GAGGGUAUAGCUCUGUGGUAGAGUGCGUGUCUAGCAUGCACAAGGUCCUGGGUUCUAUCCCCAGUAUUUCCA